UACGGGGGGGGCAAGCGUUGUUCGGAAUUACUGGGCGUAAAGGGCCAGUAGGCGGCCGACUAAGUCCGACGUGAAAUCCCCAGGCUUAACCUGGGAACUGCGUCGGAUACUGGCCGGCUUGAAUUCGGGAGAGGGAUGCAGAAUUCCAGGUGUAGCGGUGAAAUGCGUAGAUAUCUGGAGGAAUACCGGUGGCGAAGGCGGCAUCCUGGACCGACAUUGACGCUGAGGAGCGAAAGCCAGGGGAGCAAACGGG
rnacentral:rRNA from 1 species